CCCCUACGGGACGCAGCAGUCGAGAAUCAUUCACAAUGGGGGAAACCCUGAUGCAGCGACGCCGCGUGAGUGAAGAAGUAUUUCGGUACGUAAAGCUCUAUCAGCAGGGAAGAAUAAUGACGGUACCUGACUAAGAAGCCCCGGCUAACUACGUGCCAGCAGCCGCGGUAAUACGUAGGGGGCAAGCGUUAUCCGGAUUUACUGGGUGUAAAGGGAGCGUAGACGGCUGUGCAAGUCUGGAGUGAAAUGCCGGGGCUCAACCCCGGAACUGCUUUGGAAACUGUACAGCUAGAGUGCAGGAGGGG
rnacentral:rRNA from 1 species